rnacentral:rRNA from 1 species
GAUGAACGCUGGCGGCGUGCCUAAUACAUGCAAGUCGAGCGAACAGACGAGGAGCUUGCUCCUCUGACGUUAGCGGCGGACGGGUGAGUAACACGUGGAUAACCUACCUAUAAGACUGGGAUAACUUCGGGAAACCGGAGCUAAUACCGGAUAAUAUAUUGAACCGCAUGGUUCAAUAGUGAAAGACGGUUUUGCUGUCACUUAUAGAUGGAUCCGCGCCGCAUUAGCUAGUUGGUAAGGUAACGGCUUACCAAGGCGACGAUGCGUAGCCGACCUGAGAGGGUGAUCGGCCACACUGGAACUGAGACAUGGUCCAGACUCCUACGGGAGGCCGCAGUAGGGAAUCUUCCGCAAUGGGCGAAAGCCUGACGGAGCAACGCCGCGUGAGUGAUGAAGGUCUUCGGAUCGUAAAACUCUGUUAUUAGGGAAGAACAAAUGUGUAAGUAACUAUGCACGUCUUGACGGUACCUAAUAAGAAAGCCACGGCUAACUACGUG